rnacentral:rRNA from 1 species
UACGAAGGGGGGCUAGCGUUGCUCGGAAUCACUGGGCGUAAAGCGCACGUAGGCGGAUCUUUAAGUCAGGGGUGAAAUCCUGGAGCUCAACUCCAGAACUGCCUUUGAUACUGGGGAUCUCGAGUCCGGGAGAGGUGAGUGGAACUCCGAGUGUAGAGGUGAAAUUCGUAGAUAUUCGCAAGAACACCAGUGGCGAAGGCGGCUCACUGGCUCAUUACUGACGCUCAGGCGCGAUAGCGUGGGGAUCAAACAGG